CCCAACUGUAGACAACUGCCUAGGUUGCCUUAUACCUAGGCAAAUGUUACACUGCUGGGACAAAUGUAACCAAGGCUGGUGGGCACUCAGGGCCUGGUUAAUGCCAAAUUUGUGUUAACUACACCAAUGUGUCAGCAUA
rnacentral:snoRNA from 1 species